GGGAGUGUGGCUCAGUGGUAGAGCACUUGCCUAGCAUGUGUGAGGCCCUGGGUUCCGUUCCCAGCACCA
rnacentral:tRNA from 1 species